ncrna:RNA (130-MER) from Thermus thermophilus (PDB 1X1L, chain A)
CGCCCGUCACGCCAUGGGAGCGGGCUCUACCCGAAGUCGCCGGGAGCCUACGGGCAGGCGCCGAGGGUAGGGCCCGUGACUGGGGCGAAGUCGUAACAAGGUAGCUGUACCGGAAGGUGCGGCUGGAUCA